ACGAGUAAAGAGUUAAAUCUGUCUUUGAUUUGUUCGUUGCCCUUUUAGUUAUCAAAGGAUAAUUCAACUUAAAUCAGACUGUCUGAUAUUGACAUUUAGUACACUCGUGUUUGUGUAGGCAGUGAAGGAAAACAAUUCAAAUAGAUUGUUUUUUUGCAGCAGUUACCCUUGUCAUCAGAAGAUAAGCUACGGAACCAGACAGUUAUCUGCCUAACUCUCACUUUCCAUCAUGCUGUUUGCUCAAUGAGCGGGACUCGAGCUCUGCCUACUGCUGCUUAUGGGCAAAAUUUGUUUACUACUAUCAAGGUUGUGCACCUAAAAUCUGUGGAUGCUGACACUGGAGAAAAGCAUCUACUUUGGGUUGCAAAUCAUCAAGAGCCAGCACUUCUAAAGCCUUCUCGUCUUUGCUUAGCCAGCAAAACAUGCAUCUACUUCAAUGCCCUCACCCCAUUGGAUCAAAAAAUUUUCAUCUUCUUUCUAUGUAGCAUCUGCUACUUUGUGUUGUGAACCAUCAAGCACCACCACUUCUGAAGCCUUCUUAUCAUUACUUGGCCAGAAAAACCUGCAUAAACUUCAAUGCCAUCACCUAAUUGGACUGACAAUUUUCAUCAUCUUUCUACAUAGCAUCAUCAACUUUGUGCUUCUAACCGUCAAGUGCCACCAUUUCUGAAGCCUUAUCAUCUUUACUUGGCCAGCAAAACCUGCAUAAUCUUCAACAUCAUCACUUCAUUGGACCGACAAAUUUUCAUCUUCCUGCUGUAAAAUUCGACGUUAGACGAUUUGCCUGUUUCCUGCUCCCGACGACCAAGACACGUAAGAAUUAUCUAUUUUCCUUCCAGCUCAUAUUCAACCAUCGAUAUUCCGGUUUUCCCGUCUUCUCCUCCUCAGGCUAUUUAAAAUAUUGCCACGUACAGUAUUCGCAAAAAGCAGAAAGUGACGUAUCAGGAUGCAGCCUAGCGGAUAGACGACGAACGAAAAGGAUUUCACCGUGGGAGGCCUUGUAUGUAUUGUAUUGUCUUGUUGUUUACUGUAUGUAACUAGUUAACCCGUUGGCUGCCACCCCGUUUGCUCCCAUUUUUUUUGUAGUUGUAGGGACCUGGGCGCUGUUCUCCUCAUGGCCAUGGGGGGAACAGUCGCCGUUGCGCCUAAUGGCUUUAUGCCAUUAGGCGUUAGGCAAUGCACCAGUAGGGACUUCUCUCUGUCGGCACGGUGAGAGAUAUCCUGGGGUGUGCAUUCCCAGAAUGGACUCUAUCACCGUGCCAGCCCGGGCUUGUCUUCGGACAAGCCCCACCUUGGUCGGGGAUCCUUAAGGCACGACGCGUAGCAACUGUAGUUUAAGCAACCUACGGGUUGCGGUGGCCUGGCAGCCAACGGGUUAACUAGUUAGUUGUAUAUGUAUGUUUGUAUGUGUAUUGUAUGUAUUGUAUGUUCUGUAAAA